rnacentral:rRNA from 1 species
AUUUGGCGGACGGGUGAGUAACACGUGGGCAACCUACCCUAUAGUUUGGGAUAACUCCGGGAAACCGGGGCUAAUACCGAAUAAUCUCUUUUGCUUCAUGGUGAAAGACUGAAAGACGGUUUCGGCUGUCGCUAUAGGAUGGGCCCGCGGCGCAUUAGCUAGUUGGUGAGGUAACGGCUCACCAAGGCGACGAUGCGUAGCCGACCUGAGAGGGUGAUCGGCCACACUGGGACUGAGACACGGCCCAGACUCCUACGGGAGGCAGCAGUAGGGAAUCUUCCACAAUGGGCGAAAGCCUGAUGGAGCAACGCCGCGUGAGUGAAGAAGGUUUUCGGAUCGUAAAACUCUGUUGUAAGGGAAGAACAAGUACAGUAGUAACUGGCUGUACCUUGACGGUACCUUAUUAGAAAGCCACGGCUAACUACGUGCCAGCAGCCGCGGUAAUAAUC